UUUACUUCCGAUUUCGGAUGUUUGAAGAUUUGUUUUGAUUGUCAAUGACUUUACAAGGAUACAUUGACGUCUACUGCAUCGUGAGAUAUAAAGCCAUAGAAUACAUUCAUGCCAAUCAAAUUCAGCCACUCAGAAUGAUGGAAAGGAUUGCAGAACUGAGUAACUUAGAACUAUGAUGCAUAUUUACCAGAGAAUAUCUCAUGAACAUGACAUUUGCUUAAUUUUCUUUGGAAUUAUACAUUUUUUUUCACUCUCACCUGACUGAUGCAGAUUAAGUAACCUAAUUGCUCAUGAUGGUUUCUGAGAAAAAAUCAGCUUGGUGUAAUUUGACAGUAUUUGACUUUGGUUCUAUCAUGCAACAGUCAUACCAUGCAGUGUCUCACAGAUUCUCUCUCAAUUCCUGCAAUAUCCAAGAUUACAGUGUAGUGCAAAGAGGAUUAAUUUUCUUGCAAUAAGAAGUAUCUGCACUUCCAAAUACCCUGGUACAGCAUGAACAGUUCCUUCAUUUUUGAGUGAUUAUAGAGUGAAAAUGUUUCCGUAUAAAAUGUUUUCUUUUUAUGUGUAAAACUUCACAUGUAAUGAUUGGUUACAAAUACAUGCAUGGACAUUUUGAUUCCAAAUCUAUGCACAUUUUGAAUCCAAUAAUUAACCACAAAAGAAUUUUAAAUUUCGUUUGAAACAGAAAUAUUGUCAUUUUGUUUGUUUCUAAACAGUAAGUGGUAUUAUUCGUGUUUAUAGUUUCCAUGUCAAUUUAAAAAAAAGUCAGUUCUUUUAAAGAUGCACUCUUACUCCCACAUUAGAUUUACCACAAUUAAUACUAUUGUUUUAUUAUUCCAAAAAGGAUGAAUAAAUGUCGAAAACAAUGGUUCUAAUGAAGGAUACCUAUUUUAACUUGAAUGAAAUGUGCAUAAAACACAGUAUUUCUACCAUUUAAGAUCAUAGUAGAUCACAGUAAAUAUUUAAGCCUUCACCAAUCAUUUAAUAUUUUUGCGUUUUCAGCUAUUAAAUACACGGUUACAAUCUUGUUAUUAGUACUAAAUAUUUUCCAUAAGUGAAUUAUUAAGUAAGUAGUUAAAGUGUUAACAGUCAAAGUAUAGGUUUGUUAUACAUGUGUAUGCAUUGAUAUUGAAUAAGUGUGUCAAUUUAAACAGUUGCCAUGGUAACAAGAGUCUAGUUUUCUUAGGAAAUUGUAAUUGUUGUCUAAAAACCUAAGUAUUUUCAAUGAGAUACUUUUUUAGCAUGCCCGCUUCAGUCAGUGAAAUAUUUCUGUUAUGUUUUAUUCAUUUGGUCAUACUUUGUAUACAAUUACAAUUAUAAAUUAACCUUAAAAAUUGCUGACAAUCUCAUACUUAUAUUAAAAUAUUUAGAAUUGCUAGAUGGGUUAAAGUUCACCUUUUUUACAAUUGUCAGGCAAAUCAAUGCAAGAUAUACAUAAUUCUCCUUUUAAACAAAAAGCGGUUUCUUAGCAUUUUUUUGUAUUUUUAUUGAAUGGUUACCAUGGCAACUAAUUUUUUGUUUGCCUUUCAUCUUCAUAUUCAUUAUACUAUUAAUUGUAAAAUGCAACAGUCAAGCAGUGAAUGGAAGAAUGUAAAUGUUCUUUGACUUUUACCUUAUUGCUAGCUGAUUCUUCAAAAUAUAUGGCAUUUUUUUAAAUUUCUUGAAACUAGACAUUUUUUCCUCAUUUUUUUAACGUGAAAUAAAUUGCUUAAAACAUUGUGUAAGCUCUGAUAUUUAGGAAUGUGUAUUAAAUUGAUAGAA